GUCCCUGUAGUGCAAUGGAUAGCGCGUUGGACUUCUAAUCCAAAGGUCGUGGGUUCAAAUCUCACCUGGGAUG